rnacentral:rRNA from 1 species
CCUACGGGAGGCAGCAGUGGGGAAUAUUGCGCAAUGGGCGGAAGCCUGACGCAGCGACGCCGCGUGAGGGAUGACGGCCUUCGGGUUGUAAACCUCUUUCAGCUCUGACGAAGCGUGAGUGACGGUAGGAGCAGAAGAAGCACCGGCCAACUACGUGCCAGCAGCCGCGGUAAUACGUAGGGUGCAAGCGUUGUCCGGAAUUAUUGGGCGUAAAGAGCUCGUAGGCGGUUUGUCGCGUCGAAUGUGAAAACCCGGGGCUCAACCCCGGGCCUGCAUUCGAUACGGGCAGACUAGAGUUCGGUAGGGGAGUCUGGAAUUCCUGGUGUAGCGGUGAAAUGCGCAGAUAUCAGGAGGAACACCGGUGGCGAAGGCGGGACUCUGGGCCGAUACUGACGCUGAGGAGCGAAAGCGUGGGGAGCGAACAGGAUUAGAUACCCUGGUAGUCCACGCCGUAAACGUUGGGCGCUAGGUGUGGGGUUCCUUCCACGAACUCCGUGCCGCAGCUAACGCAUUAAGCGCCCCGCCUGGGGNGGUACGGCCGCGAGACGAAACGUACGAAGAAGUAGUAAGGCGUGAGAGUGCGAGGACGACGACGAGGGAGGAGG